AGAGGAAGUAAAAGUCGUAACAAGGUUUCCGUAGGUGAACCUGCGGAAGGAUCAUUAUUGAAUAAACUUGAACAGGCUGUUGCUGGCCUCCCUAGGAGGGUGAUGUGCACGCUUGUCAUCUUUAUUUUUCCAACUGUGCACAUAUUGUAGAUCUGGAAAGUGUUUGAACUUUAUUGUUCGCGUUGGGACUGCUGGAGAAUCAGCUUUGCCUUGCAUUUUCUGGGUCUAUGUCUUUUGUUACACAAACCUCAAUCUGUUUAGAAUGUUGAAUCAGGUCCUUUUUGUACCUAUAAAGUUAUAUACAACUUUCAGCAACGGAUCUCUUGGCUCUCGCAUCGAUGAAGAACGCAGCGAAAUGCGAUAAGUAAUGUGAAUUGCAGAAUUCAGUGAAUCAUCGAAUCUUUGAACGCAUCUUGCGCUCCCUGGUAUUCCUAGGAGCAUGCCUGUUUGAGUGUCAUUUAAGUUCUCAACCACAUCAAGGUGUGGCUUGGAUGUGGGGGUUGUUGCAGGCUUUUCUUUUUGAAAGACGGUCUGCUCCCCUGAAAUGCAUUAGUAGUAUCUGAGCAGCUACAGGUGUGAUAAUUUAUCUAUGCCUUUUGUAUUCUGCAUGAACAGAUUGUGCUGCUUCUAACGACCAUAUUUUGACAAACUGACCUCAAAUCAG
rnacentral:rRNA from 1 species